AUGAAGACACUGGCUGGGUGUUUGUUCCUAUGCUUGUGGCUUCAGUUGGAAUGUGAGUGUGAGCAGAGGAAAGCAGGUGGAGCAUCGCCCUCCUCACUUCAGUGUCCAGGAGGGAGACAGUGCCAUUAUCAUCUGCAUCUACCAUUCUUACUUCUCCUACAAGCAAUAGCCUAGGGCCGGUCUCCAGUUCCUUAUGGAGGUUUUGGUUUUUUGAAAUGGGUAUGGAAAAGAAGAAAAAGUACUCACUGUCCUACUGAAUAUGAAAGACAAAUCUCUCUAUCUGAACAUCACAGCAGCUCAUCCUGGACACUCAGCCAUGUACUUCUGUGCAGCAAGUG